rnacentral:lncRNA from 1 species
AUCCCAUUGGUCUCCUGCAACAAGCUCAUCCAUUGGUGGCUGCUACAGCGUUUUCUCAUUGGGAGUGCGUCGGCGCUCAUUCCAUUGGUCUAUCCUGCGCACCUGGUGCUCGGCGCUGAUUGGCUGGAUCCUCCAGCCCAGGAGGAGAUUACAGUGAUUGGUCAGUGGAAAGAAGACGGAAAAGCAUCAAGUUCAGACGCUUUAGAGGAGGAGUGUUGUGCAGUGGAGAGACGGGAAAAUUGAGAAUCAGAACACUUGGGGUAAAAUUCUGCCUCUGCCACUUCACCCUUCUGAGCCUUAGUUUUCUCAUCUGAAAAAUGGGAAGGGGCAGCUAGGUGGCUCCCAGCCUGGAGUCGGGAAGGCUCAUCUUCCUGAGUUCCAAUCUGGCCUCAAAUAUUACUGUGUUGUUGAUGAAAACCCCAAUUGGGGUCAGGAAGAGUCGACAGGACUGAAAACAACAAAAUUGGAAGGGGGUAUUGGUCCAGCUGACUUUUAAGGUGUUUUUCCAGUUCUAAUUCAUUGAUCCUCAUCCUGGCACUCAAUGUCUCAGAGAUUUUUAUCCCAACCUUUCUAUUUCCUCUUCUCAACUCUCACUCCUUCGUGUUGCUUGACUCUUCUC